AGCGAACGCUGGCGGCAGGCCUAACACAUGCAAGUCGAGCGGCCGUAGCAAUACGGCAGCGGCAGACGGGAGAGUAACACGUGGGAACGCGCCCUUCGGUUCGGGAUAACCCAGGGAAACUUGGGCUAAUACCGGAUACGCCCUUACGGGGAAAGAUUUAUUGCCGAAGGAACGGCCCGCGUCCGAUUAGCUAGUUGGUGAGGUAAUGGCUCACCAAGGCGACGAUCGGUAGCUGGUCUGAGAGGAUGACCAGCCUCACUGGGACUGAGACACGGCCCAGACUCCUACGGGAGGCAGCAGUGGGGAAUAUUGGACAAUGGGCGCAAGCCUGAUCCAGCCAUGCCGCGUGGGUGAUGAAGGCCCUAGGGUUGUAAAGCCCUUUCAGCGGGGAAGAUAAUGACGGUACCCGCAGAAGAAGCCCCGGCUAACUUCGUGCCAGCCGCCGCAGUAA
rnacentral:rRNA from 1 species